rnacentral:rRNA from 1 species
UUGCUACCUGAUUCAGCGGCGGACGGGUGAGUAAUGCCUAGGAAUCUGCCCGAUAGUGGGGGACAACGUUUCGAAAGGAACGCUAAUACCGCAUACGUCCUACGGGAGAAAGUGGGGGAUCUUCGGACCUCACGCUAUCGGAUGAGCCUAGGUCGGAUUAGCUAGUUGGUGAGGUAAUGGCUCACCAAGGCGACGAUCCGUAACUGGUCUGAGAGGAUGAUCAGUCACACUGGAACUGAGACACGGUCCAGACUCCUACGGGAGGCAGCAGUGGGGAAUAUUGGACAAUGGGCGAAAGCCUGAUCCAGCCAUGCCGCGUGUGUGAAGAAGGUCUUCGGAUUGUAAAGCACUUUAAGUUGGGAGGAAGGGCAGUAAGCUAAUACCUUGCUGUUUUGACGUUACCAACAGAAUAAGCACCGGCUAACUCUGUGCCAGCAGCCGCGGUAAUACAGAGGGUGCAAGCGUUAAUCGGAAUUACUGGGCGUAAAGCGCGCGUAGGUGGUUCAGCAAGUUGGAUGUGAAAUCCCCGGGCUCAACCUGGGAACUGCAUCCAAAACUACUGAGCUAGAGUACGGUAGAGGGUGGUGGAAUUUCCUGUGU